rnacentral:lncRNA from 1 species
UUUUGUCCUUGUCCUCACAUCUUAUUCAUCACAAAUCCCCGAAAACAAGCUUUGCAUUUUUUACUGUUGAUAAUGGUAACUACAUGUAUAAAUGUAUGGUUUUUUUUCAUUUAAAACGUGUAUAAAAGUUUAUUGAUGGUAUAUAUAUAUAUAUAUAUAUAUAUAUAUAUUGAAGGACUCAUAUAUCCUUGGACGCAAUCCAAACCCAGCUUUGCAUAUGUACCACUUAUCUACUUGAUUUUUUCUAUUUCCUCUUUUGAGAACUAUUCUAGGUAACAUAUACCACUUUAGUGGAUUUGAACUCAAAGGCUACAACCCCUGUAAUUCAAUGUGCAGCCACUCAUGCUGGUAAAGUAAUAUAAGUGACAAGUGAAAAUAUUCCAGUGAGAGGAAGUGCAUCCAUCGCCCAUGCGCUCUGACAGUCUGCACCACCAUUAUUCUUUAGGAUUUGUUACAAAGUGGGGAAAAACCAAAUUGUGGGGCACAAGCAAUCAUGUACAAAAGAAAAAAAACUACACUCUAAUUGGAAGAUGCUUGUGUGCUGAGAGAGAUUGGCACCACAGGCUUUAGGGCCACAUGAAUCAUAUUCUGUAGAAAAGAGAAUACCCUAACUAAACACAAGCUUUGAGUGCUUUAUAAUUUUAAGAUUGUUAUUUACCUUUUCUCCAAAAUUUAUAACAGAACAAAGAGUAUUAGCAGAAGAAUGAGUUGUUGUUUCAGCAGCCAAGUGUAGAUACUUCAUUGUAUCAUGUGCAAAUUUCAUGUGUAGAUAUAUCUCUUAUAAAAAAACAGCUCAUGGGAAAUAAAUCAACAAGAUAAACUAGAGGAGACAAAAAUCAUCUAUAGUUGGCUGCAUAUCUCAUAGUUUUCAUCAAAAUCAAAGCAAAAGUGAAACAAUAAAUCAACUUUUGAUCAAUCACAGAUUGAAUUUUGCAUGUUGUUGCUUCAGAUUGCCAAAAGUAGCACUACAAAAUCACUAGGAGUAGAGCUUGGAAGCUCCCUAUCAAUUUUUUUGUGGCCAAUACCACAAAUUUCCAGUAUAUAUAUAUAUAUAUAUAUAUAUAUAUCAUACACAUACACACACACAAAUUAGUGGGAGAACCCUAAAACAAUUCUGCUCUUGUUUUGUUUUUUGUAGGGUUUGUUGGAGCAUCUGUGUGAAGAAGAUAACCAAUAUCAAUCAAUGGAGUUGAGCUUCUCCAUUAGAAGCUACAUCCAAUGGGUAAAUUUCAUGUGAUCCAUUUGUAAAAAGGGGCAGUGAGUGAGAGUGGGGGUAGAGUGAUGAUCCCUGUAUGCACCCCCUUUAGCCCAUACAUUUCAAUAGAGUGCCCCAGUUACAUUAUUUGUAUUCCUGGACCUGACUAUUCAUUCAUUGACUCUCACCAUCACAAUCCUGUUGAAAGCAUUGCCCAAUGCUUCUGAACAUGUGGAAUUGUGAUUUCUAAGCAUAAUAGAACACAAUUACUUGACACUCAAUGGGGCCCUGUAGUAGCAGAAAAUAGGAUGGGGAACCAAUUAUAAGUAGUUUUGAGUUUGUGUUGAGAGCAUUUUAUUUUACUUUAUCUUAUCUUCAUAUAUAUAUAUAUAUAUAUAUAUAUAUCUUAUAUAUAUUUUUUUCAUCUCUCAGUUGCUCUCUCAUGUUGAAUAUCCAACAACCCUAACAGCUAGAUCCACAAUUUAGGAGAGAGAAUAUGGUAUUGGCAUUUGAACCACAACCCAUUGUCUUCAACAGCUCUUGAAUAUGAUUUUUGUAUUUGUGCAUUUAAAAACAGUCUCACAAAUCCAUAUUACUAUGUCAUCCUUUUGGUAGUAUCAUCCUCCUUCAAAUUAAUUGUAAUAUUGUAAGACUAAGUCAUUUGUUUGUAAGUCUAUCAUCAUAUUGAUUAUUCUCUUCUGGUGCCCAAUAAUAUUAUCAUAUACAAUUAAUUAUCACCCACAUUUCCUCUUCUUACAUACAAUAUUUGUGGAAAUUUAAAAUUAUUUUGAUAUUUAAUAAUCUCAAAUUGAUAUAUGCAACAAUAAUAAUAUUAUUAUCUUAUUUUGAUAUAAUAUUUCUCCUUGGGCUUGCUACUAAAAACAAUUCAAAUGGAUAAAAAAAUAAGUGAAAUUUACAUUUUUUUUUUAAACAAGUAUAUAUAUAAACCAUAGUUUUACUGCGAGGGAAUCAACAUUUGAAGUAAACUCCAUUUAUGUGUGAGGUAUUUUUACGUC